UACGUAGGGUGCGAGCGUUGUCCGGAAUUAUUGGGCGUAAAGAGCUCGUAGGCGGUCUAUCGCGUCGGUCGUGAAAACUUGGGGCUUAACCCUGAGCUUGCGGUCGAUACGGGCAUGACUGGAGUUCGGCAGGGGAGACUGGAAUUCCUGGUGUAGCGGUGAAAUGCGCAGAUAUCAGGAGGAACACCGGUGGCGAAGGCGGGUCUCUGGGCCGAUACUGACGCUGAGGAGCGAAAGCGUGGGGAGCAAACAGG
rnacentral:rRNA from 1 species